AUAMAUGCAAGUCGAGCGGACAGAAGGGAGCUUGCUCCCGGAUGUUAGCGGCGGACGGGUGAGUAACACGUGGGUAACCUGCCUGUAAGACUGGGAUAACUCCGGGAAACCGGAGCUAAUACCGGAUAGUUCCUUGAACCGCAUGGUUCAAGGAUGAAAGACGGUUUCGGCUGUCACUUACAGAUGGACCCGCGGCGCAUUAGCUAGUUGGUGGGGUAAUGGCUCACCAAGGCGACGAUGCGUAGCCGACCUGAGAGGGUGAUCGGCCACACUGGGACUGAGACACGGCCCAGACUCCUACGGGAGGCAGCAGUAGGGAAUCUUCCGCAAUGGACGAAAGUCUGACGGAGCAACGCCGCGUGAGUGAUGAAGGUUUUCGGAUCGUAAAGCUCUGUUGUUAGGGAAGAACAAGUGCGAGAGUAACUGCUCGCACCUUGACGGUACCUAACCAGAAAGCCACGGCUAACUACGUGCCAGCAGCCGCGGUAAUACGUAGGUGGCAAGCGUUGUCCGGAAUUAUUGGGCGUAAAGGGCUCGCAGGCGGUUUCUUAAGUCUGAUGUGAAAGCCCCCGGCUCAACCGGGGAGGGUCAUUGGAAACUGGGAAACUUGAGUGCAGAAGAGGAGAGUGGAAUUCCACGUGUAGCGGUGAAAUGCGUAGAGAUGUGGAGGAACACCAGUGGCGAAGGCGACUCUCUGGUCUGUAACUGACGCUGAGGAGCGAAAGCGUGGGGAGCGAACAGGAUUAGAUACCCUGGUAGUCCACGCCGUAAACGAUGAGUGCUAAGUGUUAGGGGGUUUCCGCCCCUUAGUGCUGCAGCUAACGCAUUAAGCACUCCGCCUGGGGAGUACGGUCGCAAGACUGAACUCAAWWWUUUUUGGGGGGGGGGG
rnacentral:rRNA from 1 species